UAACGGCGAGUGAAGCGGGAAGAGCUCAAAUUUGAAAUCUGGUAGCCUUCGGUUGCCCGAGUUGUAAUCUAGAGAAGUGUUUUCCGCGUUGGCCCAUGUACAAGUCCCUUGGAACAGGGCGUCAUAGAGGGUGAGAAUCCCGUCCUUGACAUGGACCCCCAAUGCUUUGUGAUACACUUUCAACGAGUCGAGUUGUUUGGGAAUGCAGCUCAAAAUGGGUGGUGAAUUCCAUCUAAAGCUAAAUAUUGGCGAGAGACCGAUAGCGAACAAGUACCGUGAGGGAAAGAUGAAAAGCACUUUGGAAAGAGAGUUAAACAGUACGUGAAAUUGUUGAAAGGGAAACGAUUGAAGUCAGUCAUGCUCUUUGGAUUAAGCCGUUCUGCGGUGUAUUUCAUUGAGCGGGGUCAACAUCAGUUUUGAUCGCUGGAAAAGGGCAGGAGGAAGGUAGCACUCUCGGGUGAACUUAUAGCCUCUUGUCGUAUACAGUGAUUGGGACUGAGGAACGCAGCAUGCCUUUUGGCCGGGAUUCGUCCACGUACAUGCUUAGGAUGUUGACAUAAUGGCUUUAAACGACCCGUCUUG
rnacentral:rRNA from 1 species